rnacentral:lncRNA from 1 species
UUUUUUUUUUUUUUGUCUUUUUAUGGCCCCACCAGCAACAUAAGGAAGUUCCCAGGCUAGGGGGAUUCAAUCGGAGCUGUAGCCUCCAGCAUAGCCGCAACAAUGUCAGAUCCGAGCCAUGUCUGCAACCUACACCACAGCUCAUGGCAAUGCUGGAUCCUUAACCCACUAAGCGAGGCCAGGGAUUGAACCUGUGUCCUCAUGGGUGCUAGUCAGAUUCCUUUCCGCUGAGCCACGACGGGAACUCUAGGGGUUUUUUUGGUGUGUUGUCCACACACAAUUAAAUGUGUUAUAUUAUUCUACCCUGCUUACAACAUGGACUAGUCUAACAUUAGGAUUUUUCACUUGUGUUGACAGUUACUGUGCAGGAGUGUGGGUGUUAUCCCAAAUCAGGAUUUUCAUGUGAGAUUUUCCGGUUUUUAUACCAUAACAUAAGUCAAAGCAGCACAUAGGCCAAAUUCAUUCUGCCGGCUAGAAGUUUACAGCUGAGGAUAGAUAAGAUAAAUAGAUAUGUGAAUGCUACUAGGAUGUGAGUACAGUCUUAUUACUACAAAAGUGCUGUUAAAAUUUACGGGGCAGCUAGGAACAGUGUAAGUUAGGGCUGCUGGCACAAAAGGCAGUGCAGCCCAGUAGUCCCUGCUCUUACUUGUUCAACCAUCAAAUCUUACAUGCAGCCUAUGCCAGGGCUGGAUGUCAGGGUGGAGAUUAAAAAUAAAGGUAAGAUUACUGUAAGGGGAAGGCCUGUACAACUUGAACCCAGGGAUUUAAAAGCUACAUGAGCUUUUACAAGUCCUGCAAAGCCCCUUAGCCUGGCCCAGGCGACUGGACACAGGAAUUAGGUUAGGCCACAUCCUAGACCUGGUUAUAGAGCAUGUGGGUUUUCAGAACAAUUCAGAACUUUACAUACAUCUGUUUUGAGCAAUUCUUUUUCUUUUUAUGGCCAUACCUUUGGCAUAUGAAACUUCCCAGGCCAGGGGCCAAGUUGCAGCUGCAGGCCGACAUCACAGCCACAGCAACACUGGAGUUGAGCUGCAUCUGCAACCUACGCUGCAGCUUGUGGCAAUGCCAAAUUCUUAACCCCCUGCGUGAGGACAAGGAUGGAAUCUGCAUCCUCACAGAGACUAUAUCAGGUCCUUAACCCACUGAGCACAAUGGGAACUCCUUGAACAAUUUUUAUAUGUACUGUCUCCUUUAAAACCACAUCUCCAUAAGGCAAAAGUGCCAAUUUCAUGGAUGAGAAAAUAUGCCAAUUUCACAGCAGAGUAAAAAUGAGAGGUCAAAAAUAUUGUCUAAGGCUAUAGGAGCUAAUAAGGGGUGGAAUGAGGUUGUGAAUCCAGGCUGGCUGAACUGUCUCAAAUGACAGGUAGUCUUGGAGUUCUCGUAGUGGUGCAGUGGAAAUGAAUCUGACUAGGAGCCAUGAGGUUGUGGGUUUGAUCCCAGGCCUCACUCAGUGGGUUGAGGAUCCCACGUUGCGGUGAGCUGUGGUGUAGGUCGCAGACACGGCUCGAAUCCUGAGUUGCUGUGGCUCUGGCAUAGGCUGGCGGCUACAGCUCUGAUUUGACCCCUAGACUGGGAACUUCUUUUGUGGAGGGUGUGGCCCUAAAAAGACAAAAAACAGCAGCAGGAUGAGCAGAGGAAGGACUUUAGCAGACUGGCAAGAUAAAUGGAUCAGCAUGCUGUUUCAAGUACCAGGAAGUCAGACUCUCACUGAUUUCAACACUAAAGGGAAUUUACUGGUUUACACAACUGAAGAUUGAGUAGUGGGCUCCAGGUAAAGCCUGAAAUCUUUCAGCAACUCAAUGACUUCCACGUACUAAGGACUGUCUGCCCUUGGAGUCUGAAAGUGGCUGUCAGCUAGGGAAGGACCAUCCAAAUGAUCACAAUACUUCAUUUCUGAGUUCAAGGUGGCUGUUCCCAUAGUCACCAGAGAAGGAACGUGGGUACUUUGCAUGGUACCGCCUAAGCGACACACAUUCCUUUCAUUCAAUUCCCACUGGCCAUUAUUUAUUAGCAGACUCAUAUCUAGCUGCUGCGGAGGUGCGACGGCCAUAGCCCCUCCUAAACGUUCACGGAGAAUACUGGUCAUAGUUCAGGCCUGACCCUGGUGCCCAUUCCCAGUACGUGUCCGUCCUGCCUGAUGUGGUGCUUCCUGACUGCGGCCGGUGUGCCAGUGGCAGAAGUAACCGCGGCGAAGCACCGUGCUUGCAAAGGGCCAGCCGCUGUAAGUGGCUGAAGUAGCCACCAGCCCUCGCCUGAAUUCCACACCACAGUUCACUGCAACACUGACACCCUGUGGGAGGAGCCAGCAGAACCAUCCGGAUCGUGGCCUCUCCCCUGCCUUCCCGGUCCUUGACUAAGGACCUUCCGAUCCCAGCAAUGUGCCCAGCACACACCUACCGACUUCCCCUCUGCGGGCAGUGAUACACCACCUCUCUCAUCAGCCUCCUCCAGUAAGUGCGUUUUUCUUCCUUGGACCUUACAUUUCUAUUUUAAAAGAAAGUGACCUCAAGCACUGGUCCAGCUCUGACCCCGCGAUUCCAGGAGAAAAUCUCAGAAAAAGCAUAGGCCCCACGUAAAUGCCAGAGAGGCGGGCAGGAGUUGACGAGGCCCGCACACGGUGUGUCUGUUCUUUCAGAAUCAGACAGGGUCCGCGGGACGCGUAACUACUGCGGCGUUCGAAAGCCCGCACCUCCUUAGACGCAAAUGC